rnacentral:pre_miRNA from 10 species
UCUCGUGCUGUGACCCACUAGAGGGAAGCACUUUCUGUCGUCUGAAAGAAAAGAACGCGCUUCCCUAUGGAGGGUUACCCUUUGAGA